UGCAUGUUUAUGUAAUAAGGACGAACAGCUCAGUAGAACUACGAUUAUUUAGUCUGUUUGAUAAAGAUAACUACGUGAAAAUGUAGCUAAGAGAGAACAGAAUAAGACGUAGGACUAUCAGUUAGUUGGUAGUGUAAUGGACUACCAAGACGAUGACGGGUAACGGGGAAUCAGGGUUUGAUACCGGAGAGGGAGCCUGAGAGAUAGCUCCCACGUCCAUGGACGGCAGCAGGCGCGAAAAUUGCCCACUCUUUGUAGGAGGCAGUUAUGAGACGUGAAAUUGAAUAUUUUGUAAAGAAGAAUAGGAGAAUUGGAGGGCAAGUUUGGUGCCAGCAGCCGCGGUAAUACCGACUCCAAGAGUGUGUAUGAGAGAUGCUGCAGUUAAAAAGUCCGUAGUCAUAGAAAGAUAAAUAGGGAUGAGAAGUCUCUUAAAUUAGCGAUAGAAAAGCCGAUGGGGAACAUAGUAUACCAGGGCGAGAGAUGAAAUGCCAAGACCCCUGGUGGACUAAGCGAGGCGAAAGCGAUGUUCUUGUAGGUAUUUGAUGAUCAAGGACGAAGGCUGGAGUAUCGAAAGUGAUUAGAUACCGCAGUAGUUCCAGCAGUAAAAGAUGCCGACAUGUUCAUUGGAAACAGUGGACAGGGAGAAAUCUUAGAGUUCGGGCUCUGGGGAUAGUAUGCUCGCAAGAGUGAAAAUUAAAGAAAUUGACGGAGCUACACCACAAG
rnacentral:rRNA from 1 species